rnacentral:rRNA from 1 species
UACAGAGGUCUCAAGCGUUGUUCGGAUUCAUUGGGCGUAAAGGGUGCGCAGGCGGCGUGGAAAGUUGAGUGUGAAAUCCCGGGGCUCAACCCCGGAACUGCACUCAAUACUCCCAUGCUAGAGGAAUGUAGAGGAGAGUGGAAUUCACGGUGUAGCAGUGAAAUGCGUAGAUAUCGUGAGGAAGACCAGUUGCGAAGGCGACUCUCUGGGCAUUUCCUGACGCUCAUGCACGAAGGCCAGGGGAGCAAACGGG